rnacentral:rRNA from 1 species
UGAGACCUGAUGCCGAGCCGAUUGUGGUGAAGUGGAUGAUCCUAUGCUGUCGAGAAAAGCCUCUAGCGAGUUUCAUGGCGGCCCGUACCCUAAACCGACUCAGGUGGUCAGGUAGAGAAUACCGAGGCGUUCGGGUGAACUAUGGUUAAGGAACUCGGCAAAAUGCCCCCGUAACUUCGGGAGAAGGGGGGCCAUUGCUGGUGAUGAGUCUUGCACUCUGAGCUGGUGGUGGCCGCAGAGACCAGCGAGAAGCGACUGUUUACUAAAAACACAGGUCCGUGCGAAGCCGUAAGGCGAUGUAUACGGACUGACGCCUGCCCGGUGCUGGAACGUUAAGGGGACCGGUUAGCUCAUUUCGGUGGGGCGAAGCUGAGAACUUAAGCGCCAGUAAACGGCGGUGGUAACUAUAACCAUCCUAAGGUAGCGAAAUUCCUUGUCGGGUAAGUUCCGACCUGCACGAAUGGCGUAACGACUUCUCGACUGUCUCAACCAUAGGCCCGGUGAAAUUGCACUACGAGUAAAGAUGCUCGUUUCGCGCAGCAGGACGGAAAGACCCCGGGACCUUUACUAUAGCUUGAUAUUGGUGUUCGGUUCGGCUUGUGUAGGAUAGGUGGGAGACUGUGAACUCGUCACGCCAGUGGCGGGGGAGUCGUUGUUGAAAUACCACUCUGGUCGUGCUGGAUGUCUAACCUGGGUCCGUGAUCCGGAUCAGGGACAGUGUCUGGUGGGUAGUUUAACUGGGGCGGUUGCCUCCUAAAGAGUAACGGAGGCGCCCAAAGGUUCCCUCAGCCUGGUUGGCAAUCAGGUGUUGAGUGUAAGUGCACAAGGGAGCUUGACUGUGAGACUGACGGGUCGAGCAGGUACGAAAGUAGGGACUAGUGAUCCGGCGGUGGCUUGUGGAAGCGCCGUCGCUCAACGGAUAAAAGGUACCCCGGGGAUAACAGGCUGAUCUUCCCCAAGAGUCCAUAUCGACGAUGGUUUGGCACCUCGAUGUCGGCUCGUCGCAUCCUGGGGCUGGAGUCGGUCCCAAGGGUUGGGCUGUUCGCCCAUUAAAGCGGUACGCGAGCUGGGUUUAGAACGUCGUGAGACAGUUCGGUCCCUAUCCGCUGUGCGCGUAGGAGUCUUGAGAAGGGCUGUCCCUAGUACGAGAGGACCGGGACGGACGAACCUCUGGUGUGCCAGUUGUCCUGCCAAGGGCAUGGCUGGUUGGCUACGUUCGGAAAGGAUAACCGCUGAAAGCAUCUAAGCGGGAAGCCUGCUUCGAGAUGAGGGCUCCCUCCUCCUUGAGAGGGUAAGGCUCCCAGUAGACGACUGGGUUGAUAGGCCAGAUAUGGAAGCCUGGUAACGGGUGGAGUUGACUGGUACUAAUAGGCCGAGGGCUUGUCCU